GUGAAGUUUUAAGAAACUUUGACUUCUCCUAGCGUUAAUGUCAAAGGCUUGUGAUAUGUUGUGGUAGCUGGGUUUAAGAAGUGCAAUAUUAAAACAAAAGCCAUGAGUUUUUUUUGUUGUUGUUGUUGUUUUUGUUUUUUUUAAGCCAUGAGUUUUUUAAGCCCCGUGUGUAAAGAUACACUCUGAGUUAUAACUUAGAGGCACACAA